rfam:Danio rerio chromosome 19, GRCz11 reference primary assembly.
CAGUAGUAGGACAGGGGGCCGUUUCUACUGUCAGAGAUGCUGCCACUCGUCUCACAGUGAACCGGUCUCUUUUCCUGCUAUUCA